UGAAUAAGAACAUGGAAGACUGUCAGACUAUUUCCGCACCCACUACAAGUCAGAGAAUCCCGCCUAGUCAGGAGGUGCCAAAUCUGAGCUCAAGCUUCAUUCGGAACAAGCUGAAUUGUCCGCGGGUGCAUCAGCCUGUGGAACUGUCUAAGCCACCUCCCUGAAUUUUUUAUUUGUGACCAAUUUUUGAAUACAGAUAGUCACAAACCAAAUCUCUAGGAGAUGCAUUAGGAACCUUUUGCUCACUUUGCAGUGCUUUUAUUGCUUUGAUUUAUUAAAAAUCAUUUGAAGCCUUUGGCCACUUU